AUGCAAGUCGAGCGAACGGACGAGAAGCUUGCUUCUCUGAUGUUAGCGGCGGACGGGUGAGUAACACGUGGAUAACCUACCUAUAAGACUGGGAUAACUUCGGGAAACCGGAGCUAAUACCGGAUAAUAUUUUGAACCGCAUGGUUCAAAAGUGAAAGACGGUCUUGCUGUCACUUAUAGAUGGAUCCGCGCUGCAUUAGCUAGUUGGUAAGGUAACGGCUUACCAAGGCAACGAUGCAUAGCCGACCUGAGAGGGUGAUCGGCCACACUGGAACUGAGACACGGUCCAGACUCCUACGGGAGGCAGCAGUAGGGAAUCUUCCGCAAUGGGCGAAAGCCUGACGGAGCAACGCCGCGUGAGUGAUGAAGGUCUUCGGAUCGUAAAACUCUGUUAUUAGGGAAGAACAUAUGUGUAAGUAACUGUGCACAUCUUGACGGUACCUAAUCAGAAAGCCACGGCUAACUACGUGCCAGCAGCCGCGGUAAUACGUAGGUGGCAAGCGUUAUCCGGAAAUUAUUGGGCGUAAAGCGCGCGUAGGCGGUUUUUUAAGUCUGAUGUGAAAGCCCACGGCUCAACCGUGGAGGGUCAUUGGAAACUGGAAAACUUGAGUGCAGAAGAGGAAAGUGGAAUUCCAUGUGUAGCGGUGAAAUGCGCAGAGAUAUGGAGGAACACCAGUGGCGAAGGCGACUUUCUGGUCUGUAACUGACGCUGAUGUGCGAAAGCGUGGGGAUCAAACAGGAUUAGAUACCCUGGUAGUCCACGCCGUAAACGAUGAGUGCUAAGUGUUAGGGGGUUUCCGCCCCUUAGUGCUGCAGCUAACGCAUUAAGCACUCCGCCUGGGGAGUACGACCGCAAGGUUGAAACUCAAAGGAAUUGACGGGGACCCGCACAAGCGGUGGAGCAUGUGGUUUAAUUCGAAGCAACGCGAAGAACCUUACCAAAUCUUGACAUCCUUUGACAACUCUAGAGAUAGAGCUUUCCCCUUCGGGGGACAAAGUGACAGGUGGUGCAUGGUUGUCGUCAGCUCGUGUCGUGAGAUGUUGGGUUAAGUCCCGCAACGAGCGCAACCCUUAAGCUUAGUUGCCAUCAUUAAGUUGGGCACUCUAAGUUGACUGCCGGUGACAAACCGGAGGAAGGUGGGGAUGACGUCAAAUCAUCAUGCCCCUUAUGAUUUGGGCUACACACGUGCUACAAUGGACAAUACAAAGGGCAGCGAAACCGCGAGGUCAAGCAAAUCCCAUAAAGUUGUUCUCAGUUCGGAUUGUAGUCUGCAACUCGACUACAUGAAGCUGGAAUCGCUAGUAAUCGUAGAUCAGCAUGCUACGGUGAAUACGUUCCCGGGUCUUGUACACACCGCCCGUCACACCACGAGAGUUUGUAACACCCGAAGCCGGUGGAGUAACCUUUUAGGAGCUAGCCGUCGAAGG
rnacentral:rRNA from 1 species